UGCAGUCAUACAGAAAAUGGGAAAAACGUGAAUUUUAUUGGUUUAUUAAGUAUUUUAAGGAUAAUUUGUCACAUUUUAAACAUUUUUUCAACAUGUCUAGCCUUCACUACAUAAUGAACUUUUUCUGUUCUCCCUGCAGAUCCCGUCUAACUUCACCUUCACCCUAUAUAAUCACCUCAUUCCCAAAAACCAAAGGCACUUUUAAGAGCCAACCUCUCUAUCUAUCUAUCUAUCUAUCUCUCUCUCUCUCUCUCUCUCUCUCUCUCUCUCUCUCUCUCUCUCCUAUCCAUCUCUUCAAUAUCUAUCUGUUCUCUAUCUCAAUUUCUCUAUUUCUCAGUCUUUCCUCUCUUUCUGUCUUUUGUCUACUUGUCUGUUAUCUGUCUCUGUCUGUCAGUCUGUCUGUCCAGUUGCUUGCUAUAAUGCCAGGGGGGUCUACAAAAAAGAUUUGUCCAUUUUGUCAGGGCAUUUUAUUUUGUGCACAGAAAAUAUGUUGCCAUUGUCAAAAGGAGCAGCCUCUGAAGCAGCGCCUCAAGAAGAAGCUUCAGAGGUUUGAUGACAAGCGAGAGGAAUGGGUGUUUGGUCGUAAGAAGAACCACACCAGUGGAUCCAUCAAGGAUGAAGCCAUAAUCAUGCUUGAGAAACUCCAUGCCAUUGGAUACAAGCCAGUUCUGCUCCUUGGAAAGGAAAACAAAAAAAAAGAAAAUAAGUGUGAAAUAUUAACUCCUCGCUGCACACUCUCCACCUGUGCCCAGGACUACCUUCAGAGGAUAGGCCCAAUAUAUGAAAAAAUUUGUGAUGGUUGGACCAAGGAUAUCGAUGAUGAUCAGCUGAUUACGCUGCACCUCACACCCUGUGACCCAUUGGAGAACACAAGCAACCGUGAG